UUUUCUUUAUUUUUGUGUAUGUCUCUCUAUAUGGCUUGAAGUGUAUGGCCAGGCAGCACACAUCCUGCAGCGUUGAUAAAAAAUGCCCUCUGUGGCUCCCCAGCUGCUAUAGAUAGCUUCAUACGCAGGCCGUGGAAACAACCUUACUGGUUGUUUCCAGUACUGUUACUGCUACCAAACCUUUCUGAUGGCUCCGUGCCCUGACUUUUGUUUUCACUGUACAUAGCCCCAGCCUUGACCAACUUCCUCUUGCAGAAUCUGGCACUGCUGGUAGUAGUAGGGCCUGUGACAGCAGACAUAAACCAUCUCUUGGUAGGAAGGCUGCUGUGUAGGUGGUGACCCCAGCAAGCACCAGAGCCUGCUCCAUGCCCUGUGGUGUGCGCUCUUAGCAUGCUUCUCCCCCUGUUCUGGGUGCCCCUUGUCCUUCAUCAGGCCUUAGGGCUUUAGCCCUCACUAUUGCAGGCUUUCACACACCUUGUGUGACUCCAAGUCAUGGUUCCCAAGCUCCAGAACAGGGGGGGUGUUUACAGGUCCCCGUACAAAGCAAAGGAAAACACACUGAUUUUGGCUGUGGCAGAAACCCGAGCAGACGCACAGUAAUAUUUGGGAUAUUACGUGGCAUGUAGUCCCCAGGGAGGGCAGCUUUUUAAGCUAAGGACUCCAUGGGCUAUGAGGAGCAAGCGUUCCCACGAUCUCCCUGCUAUAAAAGGAUAUUAAAUUCUGCAGCAGCUGCUGAUCUGGUAGCCCGUCUGGGCUGGAGCCCCCCUCCUGUCCCCUUCCUGGCUGGCCAGCCUGCUGCAGCUACCCAUGGGCCUGCUUCUGCCUCUGGACAAGCUGAGCCUCGAGCAAGGCAAAGCAAGUGGGGCAACGUGUAAGUUGUGCCUUACAGCUGAACCAGAAGGAAACCCGCUCCCCUCGAUCAGGCUGCUGCAGUGCAGAGGCCUCUUUAAACAUGCCACGGAGAACUGCUUAAGACAUCAAGUCAAAGGAACGAACCUUUAGGAGCUAUAGGGUGGCACAUUAAGCAGCUGUCUGCCCAUGGUUGGGCCCACAGUCCCACCAGGAGGGGCUGUGCUUCUGCAGAUCUGUGUGACAGGACCUUUCUGUGGUGACCAGGUUUGUGGUGCCUCGCUCUGCCCUGCAGAACAUCCUCCAGAGGACCUGCCGAGCUAUCUUACUGCAUGGUCUCAGCUCGUCAUGGUGCUCUGCUUGCACUUGCACUUGGGGAACAAGCCAGAAGCGGGAGGCUUGGCCUCACACAGUCCCUGCCCAGCCCUGGCAUCUGUCUCGCAGCUGGGGCUGGAGCUGCUCUCCCCCGUCCCCUGUGUGCUCCUCACAGCAGGACCAGGGAGCAGGAGAGUGACUGCUCUUCAGUGCUGACCCUUGGCUUUCUGUCAAUACAACCGGAACAUUUUGCCUUGCUGUGACUUCAGACAACCUCCCGCCAGUGGCAUUUUAGGCCUUUAGCUCAGCACUGCCCAUCCCUGUAUACACAUGAGCAAACUACGCUGGUGCUGUAAGCAGGUGGCAGGGCCUGGCCGGGAGGACCUCAGGUGCCUGCGGGACAGGCAAGGAAAGGGACACGGCAACCCUGGCCUGGUGCAAAGUGGGGACGGGCAGCAGGUAUCCAGCAGGCCUCAGGGCCUGCACAGAUGUGCAAAGCCACUCCACCGUGAAACUGAACCCACUGUCAGGAGGGAUUAAAGAUUGGUAAAAGCACAGGGCAGAGUCAUUGAAUGAACACAGGGCACGCUACUCUGUGAAAGGAAAGUUAGCUCCAACCCAACCCUGGCAUAGUUAAGUGUCAGAGCACAGCUGCUGCCUUCAAACCAUGGGCACAAAAAUUGGACGAGCUCUGCAAAGAGAUGUGAUAUGCUCUGAAGGCCAGCUGAGUCUGAAAAGCUUUCAGGGCUCUGCCCCCUCCUCAGUGCCUGCACUGUUUCAGACAUGUCCCCUCCCUAUCACAUGCAAAAUUACUGAAAUAUGCAUCGCUGCAUUUGUAUGCAGAGAUUGGUAGGGCUCAUCUUUCCUGUAUCUUCACCCAAUUUCCAUGUCUCUGAUUUAAUUAGACAAACUCUUUUAAGUAAAUCAAUAGGCUCAGUAAAUUAGCAGGCUCAAGCCUGCUGUUUUACUCAAUAUUUGUUAAAACUCCACAUAUACACAAAAUUCUCGUUACAUUGUCAAACUUGAUUAACUGUAGUUGUAGCAAAAAAUGGCAAUUGCAUUAUAUAUUCAUGGUAUGUAUCAUUAUGUACUUUAGCUGAUUCCUUAUAAAUAUAUAAUAACAUACUCAAUACAUUAAAUAUUAAUAAUAAUCUACGUACUUAACCCAUAUUUCUUAAAUAAGCUUUUUCCCAGGGGUGUGUGAUAUUGUGUUAGAGUCAUAUGGGAAAGUCUAGAUGAAAUCAUACAUAAAAAUAAAUUUUCAUGUGGCAUGGA